rnacentral:rRNA from 1 species
AUGCGUUGUUGGGUAGGGGAGCGUUCUGUAAGCCUGUGAAGGUGUACUGUGAGGUAUGCUGGAGGUAUCAGAAGUGCGAAUGCUGACAUAAGUAACGAUAAAGCGGGUGAAAAGCCCGCUCGCCGGAAGACCAAGGGUUCCUGUCCAACGUUAAUCGGGGCAGGGUGAGUCGACCCCUAAGGCGAGGCCGAAAGGCGUAGUCGAUGGGAAACAGGUUAAUAUUCCUGUACUUGGUGUUACUGCGAAGGGGGGACGGAGAAGGCUAUGUUGGCCGGGCGACGGUUGUCCCGGUUUAAGCGUGUAGGCUGGUUUUCCAGGCAAAUCCGGAAAAUCAAGGCUGAGGCGUGAUGACGAGGCACUACGGUGCUGAAGCAACAAAUGCCCUGCUUCCAGGAAAAGCCUCUAAGCAUCAGGUAACAUCAAAUCGUACCCCAAACCGACACAGGUGGUCAGGUAGAGAAUACCAAGGCGCUUGAGAGAACUCGGGUGAAGGAACUAGGCAAAAUGGUGCCGUAACUUCGGGAGAAGG